rnacentral:lncRNA from 1 species
UUGGGUCUAGAACAUAUGUGAUUGAUUGCCUCUGAGUUUUGUAAGCAGCUCUUAACUCAGGGCUUGAGAACUCCCAAAAACAGCCCAAGGCGGGAAUAAAGCGGGACUCCGGCAUCACCUGCACGGCCUAUGCAAUGUGUAACAGUAAACUCACCUGCCGGGAUAAUCGUCUAGGACAGUGGUCUCACCUGCGGGGGAGCCUUUCUCUCUACGGGACUUUCGUCAAUGUCCGGUGACAGUUGUGGCUGUCUCGGCUGGUGAGGGGAGAGGUCAGGGGCGCUGCUCAGCAUCCUACCAGGCCUGGGACAGCCCCCACAACAAAAAACCAUCUGGCCUAAAAGGUCCACGGGGCCAAGGUUGAGAAACCCUACCCUGGAGUCCAGGACAGAACCAUCAGCGAUUUCAUAGCAGGCUAUGAGGGUGCCAGCUGUGUCAUGACUGACGGAGGCUGGAGAUGGAGGCCUGAUCAUUCCGGCCCAAUAUGGAGGCAUUCCAAUGGCCAUUUCAGCUCCAGAACUCAGGGGUUUUGCUCCCCAGAGAGCUGUGCCUUCACACCAGGAGCAUAUCCCUGGGUCGCCUUGUCGGCAGGAUGACCUUUGGUUCAGCCUAAAUAGGUCCUAUGCUAUUCCAGUCCCCUUCCCCCUGCCUCUCAGGAGAAACCUCCACAAGCUCAAGUUAUUUCCGAUGUCAAAUCUGCGAGUGUCUAUUUCCUGUAGACAUCUCCUGGCCUCCCUCCUCCUCCUACCAGGGCUGGUCACUCUCCAAGCCUCCUGCCCCAGGGCCACCCUUGCCCCUCUCCUGGGUUGGUAUCUGAUAUGGUUUGGCU